rnacentral:lncRNA from 1 species
CGGGCUACGGGCGCCUGCCGCGCAGGAAGAGGGAGUCUGUGGCCCACAUGAGCUUCAAGGCGGCCGCAGCCCUCCUGCGUGGGCGCUCUGUCCUGGAGCCACUGGCUCCCAAGCAGAGGAGCAAGAGGAGCUUCCUGUACCCCAGCUUCAUGGACGAGGACAUGGUGGAUGCUGCUGAUACCCUGGACUCGUCCUUCUUCAGUAAGAUGGACAUGCACGAUGAGACGUACUCCAUGCCCGAUGACGUCUUUGAGUCGCCUCCUCUGUCAGCCACGUACCUACGCAUGCACCAGGUGGCAGAGGAAGCCAGGGUGUCCCCUGAGGUGGAGCAGCCCAUCCCGUGAGUACCAACCCUCAGCAGGCCUUGUCCCCAAGGCUGCCCAGGUGCCCUGCUGCAGGCAGGACAGUGUCCCCAUGAGCACCGGGCACUUCCAUGAUGAUCCUGGGAGCCAGGAGGUGCUCAGAGCCCCAG